rnacentral:rRNA from 1 species
UACGGAGGGUGCAAACGUUGCUCGGAAUCAUUGGGCGUAAAGCGCACGUAGGCGGUCUGUUAAGUCGGAUGUGAAAGCCCUCGGCUCAACCGAGGAAGUGCAUACGAAACUGGCGGACUUGAAUAUGGAAGAGGGUCGCGGAAUUCCCGGUGUAGAGGUGAAAUUCGUAGAUAUCGGGAGGAACACCAGUGGCGAAGGCGGCGACCUGGGCCAAUAUUGACGCUAAUGUGCGAAAGCGUGGGGAGCAAACAGG